GGGGAUUUAGCUCAGUGGCAUAAGCACCUGCCUUGCAAGCAGGUGGUUGUGAUCCCUG
rnacentral:tRNA from 1 species